rnacentral:misc_RNA from 1 species
CGGCGCCGCUGCUUUCCACAGUUGCUAACCCCCAUAAGCCAGCGAAAAUGCCGUUCAAAAGGUAUGUUGAGAUCGGAAGGAUCGCCCUCAUCAACUACGGUGAAGAUUACGGGAAGCUUGUUGUAAUCGUGGAUGUAAUUGAUCAGAAUCGGGCUCUGGUUGAUGCCCCUGAUAGGGAGCGAUCUCAAAUGAAUUUUAAGAGACUCUCCCUGACAGAUAUCAAAAUUGAUAUUAAGAGGGUCCCUAAGAAGAAGGAACUGAUUGAAGCCAUGAAAGCUGGGGAUGUCCAGAAGAAAUGGGAGAAUAGCUCUUGGGGAAGAAAAUUGAUUGUUAAGCAGAGAAGAGCCUCACUCAAUGACUUCGACCGGUUCAAGCUUAUGUUGGCGAAGAUUAAGAGGGCUGGAUUGGUUAGGCAGGAGCUUGCAAAGUUGAAGAAGGCCGAGUCCUAGAGGUUCAUUUUUUCAAGGGAUUUUCUCAUUUUGCUGUCGAGUUUCUUUUAACUUCUAUAGGUCGUUGAUUUAUAGUUCAAACUUUUUGUAGCAGUAUUAUUGCCUUUAAGUCAUUGUGUUCAACUUCUUCCAUUUUUAAUCUUAUUACGCCAAUUUCUUAUUUGGAUUUCAAUUGUCACAACUUUAUCACCUGCCCUAUAUGUAAAAGGUCCUUGUUUUAAUUGGUUUUAAUGAGAGUAGUACUGG